rnacentral:rRNA from 1 species
UACGUAGGGUGCAAGCGUUGUCCGGAAUUAUUGGGCGUAAAGAGCUCGUAGGCGGUUUGUCACGUCGGAUGUGAAACCCCGGGGCUCAACCCCGGGCCUGCAUUCGAUACGGGCAGACUAGAGUUCGGCAGGGGAGACUGGAAUUCCUGGUGUAGCGGUGAAAUGCGCAGAUAUCAGGAGGAACACCGGUGGCGAAGGCGGGUCUCUGGGCCGAUACUGACGCUGGAGGAGCGAAAGCGUGGGGAGCAAACAGG